rnacentral:rRNA from 1 species
UACGGGGGGGGGCAAGCGUUGUUCGGAAUUACUAGGCGUAAAGGGCAGGUAGGUGGUUUGAUAAGUCUGUUGUGUAAGCUCCCGGCUUAACUGGGAGAGGUCAACGGAAACUAUCAGACUUGAGUAUAGGAGAGGUUACUGGAAUUCCCGGUGUAGCGGUGAAAUGCGCAGAGAUCGGGAGGAACACCAAUGGCGAAAGCAGGUAACUGGACUAUUACUGACACUCAGCUGCGAAAGCUAGGGGAGCAAACAGG